AUUGAACGCUGGCGGCAGGCCUAACACAUGCAAGUCGAGCGCGAAAGGCCUUCGGGCUGAGUAGAGCGGCGGACGGGUGAGUAACGCGUAGGAAUCUACCUGGUAGUGGGGGACAACUUGGGGAAACUCAAGCUAAUACCGCAUACGCCCUAUGGGGGAAAGUGGGGGACCUUCGGGCCUCACGCUAUCAGAUGAGCCUGCGUAGGAUUAGCUAGUUGGUGAGGUAAAGGCUCACCAAGGCGACGAUCCUUAGCUGGUCUGAGAGGAUGAUCAGCCACACUGGGACUGAGACACGGCCCAGACUCCUACGGGAGGCAGCAGUGGGGAAUAUUGCGCAAUGGGGGGCAACCCUGACGCAGCCAUGCCGCGUGUGUGAAGAAGGCC
rnacentral:rRNA from 1 species